GAUAAACGCUGGCGGCGUGCAUAGCACAUGCAAGUCGAACGAUGAACCUUAUUUGAUUUCUUCGGAAUGAAAUUAAGUGGAUUAGUGGCGAACGGGUGAGUAACACGUGAAUAACCUGCCUUACACAAGGGGAUAGCCUUUGGAAACGAAGAAUAAUACCCUAUAAAGUCAAAAUAUCGCAUGAUAUAGUGACCAAAGAUUUAUCGGUGUAAGAUGGACUUGCGUCUGAUUAGCUAGUUGGUGAGAUAAAAGCCCACCAAGGCGACGAUCAGUGGCCGGCUUGAGAGAGUGUACGGCCACAUUGGGACUGAGACACGGCCCAAACUCCUACGGGAGGCAGCAGUGGGGAAUUUUGCACAAUGGGGGAAACCCUGAUGCAGCGACGCCGCGUGAUUUAGAAGGUCUUCGGGUUGUAAAAAUCUUUUUUAUGGGAUGAAAAUGACAGUACCAUAAGAAUAAGGUCCGGCUAAAUACGUGCCAGCAGCCGCGGUAAUACGUAUGGACCGAGCGUUGUCCGGAAUCAUUGGGCGUAAAGGGUACGUAGGCGGCCUAGUAAGUUAGAAGUGAAAUAAUAUAGCUCAACUAUAUAAAGCUUUUAAAACUGUUAGGCUUGAGAGAUGAAAGGGAAAGUGGAAUUCCUAGUGUAGCGGUGAAAUGCGCAGAUAUUAGGAAGAAUACCGGUGGCGAAGGCGACUUUCUGGUCAUCAUCUGACGCUGAGGUACGAAAGCGUGGGUAGCAAACAGG
rnacentral:rRNA from 1 species